GACAGAGGGUGCAAACGUUGCUCGGAAUUACUGGGCGUAAAGCGCGUGUAGGCUGCUUGGAAAGUCGGAUGUGAAAGCCCUGGGCUCAACCUAGGAAGUGCAUUCGAAACUUCUGAGCUGGAGUUCUGGAGAGGAAGGCGGAAUUCUCGGUGUAGAGGUGAAAUUCGUAGAUAUCGAGAGGAACACCGGUGGCGAAGGCGGCCUUCUGGACAGUGACUGACGCUGAGACGCGAAAGCGUGGGGAGCAAACAGG
rnacentral:rRNA from 1 species